rnacentral:rRNA from 1 species
CCUACGGGAGGCAGCAGUGGGGAAUAUUGGCCAAUGGGCGCAAGCCUGAUCCAGCCAUGCCGCGUGAGUGAUGAAGGCCUUAGGGUUGUAAAGCUCUUUCAGCGCUGAAGAUAAUGACGGUAGCGGAAGAAUAAGCCCCGGCUAACUCCGUGCCAGCAGCCGCG